rnacentral:rRNA from 1 species
CGGACCGGCGCACGGGUGAGUAACACGUAUGCAACCUGCCCUCUUCAGGGGGACAACCUUCCGAAAGGGAGGCUAAUCCCGCGUAUAUCGGUUUCGGGCAUCCGAGAUCGAGGAAAGAUUCAUCGGAAGAGGAUGGGCAUGCGGCGCAUUAGCUAGACGGCGGGGUAACGGCUCACCGUGGCGACGAUGCGUAGGGGUUCUGAGAGGAAGGUCCCCCACACUGGUACUGAGACACGGACCAGACUCCUACGGGAGGCAGCAG